GAUGAACGCUGGCGGCAUGCCUUACACAUGCAAGUCGAACGGUAACGGGUCCUUCGGGAUGCCGACGAGUGGCGAACGGGUGAGUAAUAUAUCGGAACGUGCCCAGUAGUGGGGGAUAACUGCUCGAAAGAGCAGCUAAUACCGCAUACGACCUGAGGGUGAAAGGGGGGAUCGCAAGACCUCUCGCUAUUGGAGCGGCCGAUAUCAGAUUAGCUAGUUGGUGGGGUAAAGGCCUACCAAGGCAACGAUCUGUAGUUGGUCUGAGAGGACGACCAGCCACACUGGGACUGAGACACGGCCCAGACUCCUACGGGAGGCAGCAGUGGGGAAUUUUGGACAAUGGGCGCAAGCCUGAUCCAGCAAUGCCGCGUGCAGGAAGAAGGCCUUCGGGUUGUAAACUGCUUUUGUCAGGGAAGAAAUCUUCUGGGCUAAUACCCCGGGAGGAUGACGGUACCUGAAGAAUAAGCACCGGCUAACUACGUGCCAGCCGCCGCGGUAA
rnacentral:rRNA from 1 species